rnacentral:rRNA from 1 species
AUUGAACGCUGGCGGAAUGCUUUACACAUGCAAGUCGAGCGGCAGCACGGGGGCAACCCUGCUGGCGAGCGGCGAACGGGUGAGUAAUAGAUCGGAACAUGCCCAGGCGUGGGGGAUAACACCUCGAAGCAAGUGCUAAUACCGCAUACGGCCGGAGGGAGAAAGCGGGGGAUCUUCGUCCCUCGCGCGAUUGGAGGGGCCGAUGUCAGAGUAGCUAGGUGGUGGGGUAAAGGCCUACCAAGGCAACGAGCUGUAGCUGGUCUGGGAGGAUGAUCAGCCGCACUGGGACUGAGACACGGCCCAGACUCCUACGGGAGGCAGCAGUGGGGAAUUUUGGACAAUGGGGGCAACCCUGAUCCAGCCAUUCCGCGUGAGUGAAGAAGGCCUUCGGGUUGUAAAGCUCUUUCGGCAGGAACGAAACGGCGAGCUCUAACAUAGCUUGCUAAUGACGGUACCUGAAGAAGAAGCACCGGCUAACUACGUGCCAGCCGCCGCAGUAACAC